rnacentral:tRNA from 1 species
GCCGAAGUGGCGGAAUGGCAGACGCGCCAGGUUCAGGACCUGGUGAGGGCUAACCUCGUGUGGGUUCAACUCCCACCUUCGGCA